GUUUGAGGUGACAUCCUGCCUGCUGCAUCUCGCUCGUCAAACAGGCGCCUGGCCUCCUGGAGCAGACACGCGCACACAUUUUGCACAGGAAAAACAUGAACACUUCAAGCAGAAAAAAUGCAACCGUAUUGCACCCAGUGACAAGGAGGAGCUUCCUGCUGCCAGUCCAGCACAAGGAAACAAAUUCUGAGUUGCCAAAAAAAGGAAAAAUUCAGUGGAAAAUUGGCCUGAUAAAGAAGUCAGAGGACAACUUCUACUGUAAACCCCUUAGGGCAGGGGUAGGUUGUGUGUUCUGUGCUCAUACAACAAAUGACAACUAAGCCUGACACUUCUAACAUAAUAGUAAUUAGUAAUAGCUCUUGUACAUGUUCUGCC